UACAGAGGGUGCAAGCGUUGUUCGGAAUUAUUGGGCGUAAAGGGAGUGUAGGCGGUUUGUAAAGUCUCAUGUGAAAUCUACGAGCUUAGCUUGUAGCGUGCAUGAGAAACUCACAGACUUGAGUGUCGGAGAGGAUAGUGGAAUUCCCGGUGUAGAGGUGAAAUUCGUAGAGAUCGGGAGGAACACCAGUGGCGAAGGCGACUAUCUGGCUGACAACUGACGCUGAGACUCGAAAGCAUGGGUAGCAAACAGG
rnacentral:rRNA from 1 species